rnacentral:misc_RNA from 1 species
AGGAUAUUUCUUUUUGCAUGAUGGCUGGUGUCCUUUUCACUGCAUUAGGUUUUAAGCCUCCAUGAAUCCUAGAUUACUUAAAAUUGGAGUUGCAAUGGAAAAUUAAUGAAAUUUGGAGCAUAUGUUUCAAGUUAUUUAAUGAGUGCCAAGUUUGAGAAAAGUGAACUGGAGGUUCUAUUCAGAAGGAAUAUGACAACAUUUUUUGCAGUAAACAGACUUUCUAUACUCUAAACCUUUUCUUCUACCAUCGUAUGUGAAUCAUCAAUUUCAUGAAAUUCAUAUUUAAUUAAGAGUUUUUCAAUCUUACGUUCACCAUGCUUUAGCAACUGUGGAUGAAAUGAAUGCUUGCCAACAAAUCCUCUAUUUUAUUUAAUUGAUGACCUCCCAUUUAAUGUUGCUGUUCAUGAACAAUACAUAGAAUCCAUUGGACUGGAUCAGAUAUUGAUGAUUAAUCUUCCAUAUUUUGCAUUUACAGGUCAAAGAAGAAGUUGA